rnacentral:piRNA from 1 species
UGAAGAAUAUCUACAUGUUUUCUGCUG